CCCUUAGAUGUUCGGGGCCGCACGCGCGCUACACUGAAGGAAUCAGCACGUCUUUCUCCUUGUCCGAAAGGACUGGGUAACCCGCUGAACCUCCUUCGUGCUAGGGAUUGGGGCUUGUAAUUCUUCCCCAUGAACGAGGAAUUCCCAGUAAGCGCGAGUCAUAAGCUCGCGUUGAUUACGUCCCUGCCCUUUGUACACACCGCCCGUCGCUACUACCGAUUGGAUGGUUUAGUGAGAUCCUCGGAUUGGUCCCGGCGCGGCCUCUGGUCGUACCGGAGUGCCGAAAAGAAUGUCGAACUUGAUCAUCUAGAGGAAGUAAAAGUCGUAACA
rnacentral:rRNA from 1 species